AACAUAUAUGUAUAUUUUAAAGAACAAAUAAAACAGAUCCUUUUAAUUAAACAUUUCUUUAGAUAGCAGCUUCCAAAAUCUCCUUGGAUAACACGUGGCAUUGUCUCACAACUUUUUUAAUGUCUAAUUUAAAUAAAUCCCUUUUGGCACAAUUUAAAGUCCAGUCCCUUUCAUUUUAUCCUCAGACAAAAACAGAACAGCUGCUCCUGCUCUCUUAUUCAAUAUGCCUCCCUAUUUUUAAGAAUUCAGUUCUCCAGAAAAAAAUUAAUGAGACUCUUCUAUUUUAAUGAGUUUCUUGUAUGGUGGAUUGGCAUUUUUCCUCCCCCAAGCUCAAAAUUCUUGGUUACAAAGAUGAAUUAGAAUAGAACAUUGAGAAUAGAAGGAAUUUAGAUCCCAUCCAAUUCUCGCCUUCCACAGAUGGCACCAGAGGCCCAGGGAAAUGUGGGACCUGACUUGCCUACAUGGCAGAAUCAGAACUAAGACCCAACUAUCUUACCUCUUACUUCAGGGUUAUUGCCAUUAAGGAAGGGGUGAGGAACCAGGGGUAUUUAUCAACCCAUUCCCAUCCCUCCUUGGUUAAGGGUUGCUCCUGGGGAACAAAUCCCCCAGUUCUUCUGUCCGCCCCAGGCCUAAACUAUUUGCACCCAAAUCCUUAUUUCAGGAUCUUCUUUCUGGGGAAAUCAAACGAAGACCAUGCUUUACAAGAAAAGAGCUUUACCAGCUCAGCAGGAACUGUGAAUUCAAGAAAUUGCCUGAGUGACCUUGAACCUCAGGGGCAGCUCGGGUGGAAGAGCUAUGAGGAGCAGAGGAUCAGAUCAUCAUUAACCAGGACUGCCAAGGAAGCCGUGUGUUUACUGGUUGUCUUCUUGAAGAAUUCAAGCGUGGGGGUGGCAGCGGUGCUGGGAAGUAGGCUGGAUCAUGCCCAACUUGAUCCCAGCAAUGAUCUUGUGCCUACCAGAGGGCAGCGCAUUAACCCUUUAUCUAUUUCCUUUGUUGUUUGGUAAGGAGAGAAAAGUGGAGAAAAUACAUCCUGUACCAUUUCCUAUCUCAACAGACAUCUUUAAAAAUGCAACAGCUUUGCUUAGAAGAACAACAUGUAUUUUAGAAAAUCUACCUUGCUUUAUGUAUCAGAUACUUUCGUAACGCUGUGCCUUAUAAAAGGGGAUUCUAUUUUAAAUACACAUAGAGGAGCUGACUAUAUGAGGGAACCUUGGGUGAGACCAUUGUAAAGCAAAUAAUCCCUCUCUGAAUAAAUCUGUCUUUAAAUCUGGAUUUUCA
rnacentral:lncRNA from 1 species